rnacentral:rRNA from 1 species
UACGAAGGGGGCUAGCGUUGCUCGGAAUCACUGGGCGUAAAGCGCACGUGGGCGGAUCGUUAAGUCAGGGGUGAAAUCCUGGAGCUCAACUCCAGAACUGCCUUUGAUACUGGCGACCUUGAGUUCGGGAGAGGUGAGUGGAACUGCGAGUGUAGAGGUGAAAUUCGUAGAUAUUCGCAAGAACACCAGUGGCGAAGGCGGCUCACUGGCCCGAUACUGACGCUGAGGUGCGAAAGCGUGGGGAGCAAACAGG